rnacentral:tRNA from 1 species
AAGUAGUGAAGUAAAAAAAUUACAUUUAGUUUCGACCUAAAAAUAGAGUAAACUCCUUACUUU